rnacentral:rRNA from 1 species
GACGAACGCUGGCGGCGUGCUUAACACAUGCAAGUCGAACGGCAAGGCCCUGCUUUUGUGGGGUGAUCGAGUGGCGAACGGGUGCGUAACACGUGAGUAACCUGCCCUUGACUUUGGGAUAACUUAAGGAAACUGGGGCUAAUACCGGAUAGGAGCUCCUGCUGCAUGGUGGGGGUUGGAAAGUUUCGGCGGUUGGGGAUGGACUCGCGGCUUAUGAGCUUGUUGGUGGGGUAGUGGAUGACCAAGGCUUUGACGGGUAGCCGGCCUGAGAGGGUGACCGGCCACAUUGCGACUGAGAGACGGCCCAGACUGCUACGGGAGGCAGCAGGGGGGAAUAUUGCACAAUGGGCGGAAGCCUGAUGCAGCAACGCCGCGUGCGGGAUGACGGCCUUCGGGUUGUAAACCGCUUUCGCCUGUGACGAAGCGUGAGUGACGGUAAUGGGUAAAGAAGCACCGGCUAACUACGUG